rnacentral:rRNA from 1 species
GAUGAACGCUGGCGGCGUGCCUAAUACAUGCAAGUCGAGCGAACAGACGAGAAGCUUGCUUCUCUGAUGUUAGCGGCGGACGGGUGAGUAACACGUGGAUAACCUACCUAUAAGACUGGGAUAACUUCGGGAAACCGGAGCUAAUACCGGAUAAUAUAUUGAACCGCAUGGUUCAAUAGUGAAAGACGGUCUUGCUGUCACUUAUAGAUGGAUCCGCGCUGCAUUAGCUAGUUGGUAAGGUAACGGCUUACCAAGGCAACGAUGCAUAGCCGACCUGAGAGGGUGAUCGGCCACACUGGAACUGAGACACGGUCCAGACUCCUACGGGAGGCAGCAGUAGGGAAUCUUCCGCAAUGGGCGAAAGCCUGACGGAGCAACGCCGCGUGAGUGAUGAAGGUCUUCGGAUCGUAAAACUCUGUUAUUAGGGAAGAACAUAUGUGUAAGUAACUGUGCACAUCUUGACGGUACCUAAUCAGAAAGCCACGGCUAACUACGUG